AGGCAUCACUCUACCUUCAUGCAGGUCUUGAUUGGCUGUUUUACCGGCAUUGAAUAUGCUGAGGUAUGGUAAUGAAUUGUGAAAUUCUGCAGUGAGCUGUGAAAUUUUGAGUCUUUACGAGGAAUCUAUACCUCUACAAGGUGCCAGAAAUAAUACUGUAGUUUGUCAUGCUGUUGUUGCAUAUGGCACAAAUGAUAUAUGCUUUGAGAAGCCCUGUAUGCCUCACUUUUAUUGUCAUGAAUCAUCUGUGUAUACUGUAAUUUAAUGUUAGUUUUGGAAUAGAUAUUUUUUUCUAAUAGAAAAAUAUUGGAGUCCUUAAAUAUCAAACGAGAAACAUGAAAUUCUUGUUUAGAAAUUGCAUUUUACCUUCAUUU
rnacentral:misc_RNA from 1 species